GUACGUGUGCGGCGACGCCGCCGCGUCACCAUUCUCCUCUUGUCGUUGUUGCUCCGGGGCCAUCCUGCCCCGGUUUUUUUUG
rfam:Burkholderia sacchari strain LMG 19450 contig00008, whole genome shotgun sequence.